UAACUACUGGAAACGGUAGCUAAUACCGCAUAACGUCGCAAGACCAAAGAGGGGGACCUUCGGGCCUCUUGCCAUCGGAUGUGCCCAGAUGGGAUUAGCUAGUAGGUGGGGUAACGGCUCACCUAGGCGACGAUCCCUAGCUGGUCUGAGAGGAUGACCAGCCACACUGGAACUGAGACACGGUCCAGACUCCUACGGGAGGCAGCAGUGGGGAAUAUUGCACAAUGGGCGCAAGCCUGAUGCAGCCAUGCCGCGUGUAUGAAGAAGGCCUUCGGGUUGUAAAGUACUUUCAGCGGGGAGGAAGGGAGUAAAGUUAAUACCUUUGCUCAUUGACGUUACCCGCAGAAGAAGCACCGGCUAACUCCGUGCCAGCAGCCGCGGUAAUACGGAGGGUGCAAGCGUUAAUCGGAAUUACUGGGCGUAAAGCGCACGCAGGCGGUUUGUUAAGUCAGAUGUGAAAUCCCCCGGGCUC
rnacentral:rRNA from 1 species